UGUUAUUCCAGGUACACCAUGAUAUGACUGCUCCAUUGUCACAUUAUUUCAUAUAUACAGGCCACAAUUCCUAUCUAACUGGGAAUCAACUGAGCUGUGAUUGCAGUGAGGUCCCAAUUAUCAACGCUUUGCAAAGAGGUGUCAGAGUUAUCGAACUUGAUCUAUGGCCACGUUCCACAAAAGAUGAAGUUCUUGUUCUACAUGGAAGGUAAUAAUGAUUACCAAAUUCAGAAAUUUCCAUGCCAAAUAGUGAUCGAAUAAUGGGGGCAGAUGUGGUGCAGCAAAUGUCAUUACUCUUAUGAUAACAAUGCUAUGACAGGCUGUGACUUGUUUAAGAAAGGAAGGAAGGGAGUUGAAUCCAUAAUCUAAGGCCUAGUUUGGCAACAUCUAUGGCUUGAAAAGCUGCACAUUGCAAACACUAGUUUGAACCAAAAAUUUCGAACCUCUUUGACAUUAUUGCAUUUGCAAAUUAAACCUGCUUUUAAGGACUCAGGUGCAGUGCCAAACUGUCCAUUAAUCAAUUGUAGUUUAUGUACAAUCUUUAUAGAAUCAGCUUACUUGAUUUCGGUAGUUGUACAUUGAAAUUUCUCUCACAGCAUCAUCAAUGAAUAAAUUGUAAGACCCUAACUUCUCCUGUGUCACUUGUCAAGUGUUUGAUGUCCAUAAAGGAGUAUGCUUUUGCUACUUCUCCUUACCCAGUUAUUACAACAUUAGAAGACCACCUUACACCAGAAUUGCAGGCUAAAGUUGCUGAGGACUUCAGGAGAAACCAUGGACCUGCUGUUGAUAAGCUGAAAGAACCAAUCCUCACUGAAAUUAUACCUCUGCAUUAGCAAGGCGAUAUGAGUUAAAUUUCUCAAGACAGGAUAUAUCAUCUCUCUGGUUUCUGUGUAAGCAGGAAACAUCCUUGUUGGAUCUAACCGAUCAAGCUUGCGGUAUUAUUUUCAUACUUCAUUACUCUUUAUGAAGAUUUCAAGGAGAGAACUGUGCCGCCUCAUUCAAAGCAUGAUUACAAUACCCUUUGCAAUGUGAAUCGUAAUCAGCCCAAGCCGAAGCCUGAAACCAGUAAGUUAUCGCAACUACUGUUUCGUUGGCUCUUUGGGUUGGGGAACGAUGAUACACCGUCCCACAGAGUUGAAUUGUAGUUUGCUUCUCAAGAUACCGGAAAAGAAGGUAUAAUUCCUACUCAUUUUCCUUGUUGCCACUCCUUUCUUGGUGUGAUUUUCGGCCACGGGCACCACUACAUUCUAGCGGAGUUUCAUUCUGGAUUGACUCCAAUGCUAACACAAAAUGAAAUUUUGCUACAACAAGAAUUCUUGGUACGAUAGGUUUUUCUGAUUGAAGGGUUCAUUGCGGAGUCAGAUUCUCAACAUUACAGUAUCUUUUCUUUUCCUUCUUCGUUUUACUAGUUUUUUGGAAAAAAACAAAUAUUAGAGACGAGCAUAUGGGAAUCUACUGUUAAUUUGCAACAAAGGAAACUGCAUCAAACAGGCUGAUCAAACUGUUAAAAUAAUGGGAAUUACAUAGCUAUGUAGCAUGUUUCUAAUGAA
rnacentral:sRNA from 1 species